AUACCCUAACUACCUUCAAGCCCUAUAUCAGAUUAGGACUUUUCCUUUUACCUCCCAUAAUGUUGCUUCCUCUCCUCUUUUCUCUCUCUCCUUCAACGUCCCUUUACCCUUUCAAGCAAAAUUUUCAGGGUUUUCACCAUGGAAAGAGGUUAGGUACUCCAUUUUUAUAUUAUGGUCUUUUCAAUCACGUGAAUCUACAAACUCUAUCCCAAACGUUCAAAUUUGGACGUCCCUUUGAGCAUGGAUUCAAAAAUUUAAAAGUGAAAUCCCGCCCAAAAUGAAAGAUGGAAGCCCUAAUUUCUUUCUAUAAAUACCCUCUUUCAAGUUCUAUCUCGGGGGGCUGGAGAAGUGACCUCCAUCUUUGUUGCAAAAAGCUUUUUCAAACACUUCUCUAUCCCAAAGCUUUUCGAAUCCACUAUUAGUUGCCCUCUUCAUUAGAAAAGCUUUAAAUUUUAGUCGUUUGUUUUUCUAGAGUAUAUAAAAAAGCCUCCCUGAUUUUUAUUUUUGGCCUUGGUCAAUUUUGAUGUCAAUUUAUAUUACUCCAUUUGAGGUUUGAGUUGUUUUGAGAGUGAGCAAAUGGAGUCCUAACGUAGGACUCUCGCAAAAAGGGGUCUCAAGACGAGACUCUAACGCAUCCGUACUUGGAGUCAUACAUUGUGUUUCUUAGAAUGCAUCAACCCUCAAGUAAACGAGUGAAACCUUGGGAUUGUUUAGGGUGUCUUCCUUUAUCAUUUGUUACUAUUAUUGUUAUAUUACUCUGUUUUGUUAUUAGUAGCUCAUCUAUGUGUGACUUGGUUCUUUUAUUUUCCCUGAAGUUUGAGGUUAUCUAUUGAAUUUCAUUUUAAGCACUA